rnacentral:lncRNA from 1 species
CCGUGAAGACUUUAAGGUUAUAUCUUGUUCAAGGCCCUUAGAGGGGGCAAUUUUUACUUGGUGAUACGAUAGGUUUGGUGUACAAAUUGAGCCACUUGUAGUAUUAAUGGAUAUAUAUCUAGUAGAUCCUCAAAGAAAGUCAAUAGGAAAUUGAUUGAAUGGAACAAGGAAGAACAAAAGUAAUGGACUCUGAUUAAGACGGGCAACUCAUUCAAUCUUCCAUAUAUGGCUAUGAAUUGUUGAGCAAGUAUUCGGGCUAGAUAAUGUCUUAUAUGUCUAAAUCAUCUCAUAUCCUUGUAUCUAUACACCCAUGGUAGGGAAGGAAAGAAUAUGGAAGAAGUGUGAGACAACAUAAGGUAAUUGAAUUUUAUCCUUGCUUAGGGAUAAGGUUUCUAAUCAGGUUAGCACUAAUCACCAUUCUUAAGUAAUGGCUAUUUCAAAUAAUUAAUGAUUGUGCCAGAUUAUUUUCCCUCCCUUUCAAAAGUAGUCUCUAGAACUUUAUACUCAAUAUUUGUGUCCAUCUAACCAAAUACGUCCCCUCAGACACAUCAUAUCCCUUAAAUCUCAGUUGUUUCUAUGUAUCAUACAUAAUAUCCUAAAUUAGAUCUUCUUUUCUCACUUUGAAAAAUUCUCACGUCAAAGCUUAUUCACUCCUUGAUCAUUCAAAGUUCUUACUCCUACUAUUAUUUUUGUUAUCCUAUCUCCAAAAGAGACUUUCAUUUUAGCUAUGAGCAAAAAAGGUAGUUCAAGCCUGUCCUCUAGGAGGCUAAAUGACCCACUUGAAAGUAAUGAUGAUAAAGAUGUGAGACCUUCACAUGUUCUUGAAGAAUCAAUAGACAUUCUAAGAGCAUGUAUAAUUAUAGCAAGGAUAGUGAGAUUAAGCGCCUGCUUGAAAGAUUGAGUAACUAUAAGGGGUAAAUUAAUUAAAUCUGAUUAUGAGGAGUACAUUACUGAUGUAAGGGAAAACAAGAGAAGAAGAGAGGAGGUAUUUCCAAAGAAAGAGAAGAGAAAAGGAUUGGAACAAGUUGAUAUCGAAGGACUAGACUCCAACUGUAUCAUCUCAAGAGUAGCAAGGAAAAAGACUUUUAAUAAUAGAAACUCCUCUAGGGAAGAGUUUUUGACUCUGCUAAAGGAUAUAUGAUUGGAGUUACAUGACUUGGUAAAGUUUUAAAAUUGGGAACAAUUAUUUGUAUUAAUUGUACCUCAAGUGUAUAAGAAUUAAGUGAGGAUGUUUUAUCAAAACUUGGAAAUUUCAGAUGAUAGUCUAUACCUGAUCUCUUAGGUCAAUGGUAUGGCUUUGGGAUUCGAUGAAGAGAUACUCUCUAAAAGUCAUAGUGUUCCAAAUUUAGGUGCCAGGUCUGUAACAUCUAAGAAGGGGUCUCCUUAGUUCUUGAAACUAUGUGGUAUAUUUUAUGACUUACUCACUGAAGACUCUGACAAAAAGGCUCUCAAGGAAGAAUUUCAGGUGUUGUUUGAGCUUGUGACAAAUGCACUACUUCCUAGAUUUGACAAGGAGACUACUCUGAUAAGUGCUAAACUAUUUUUAAUGAAAAUAUUGUUUAAGUACGAGACAAUUAACCUACCAUCCAUUAUUAUUGAGCAUAUGAAAUUUUUCCUUAAUGACAAAGCUAGAAGGGAUGGACUACACUAUAGAAUUUGCUUGAAUAGAGUCUUGAAUUUGUAAAGGGAAGAUAAUGUGGAAACAAACUUAGAAAAAGAUGUGCGUACUGCAAUUGAUGCCCUGCAGAAAAGGGUGGAGGAUCCUGAAACUAAGCAUGUUUGUGUUAAAUGCUCUUUCAUAGAAUCUAAUCUUACCUAGUUUCAUAUCCUUGACUUCUCAUUAAGUCCUAUUAACUUUUUUUCUCCUUUUGUUUUUGUUCCUCAUUGCACAAUUGUUUUUAUAUUUUGUGGUUAUUAUUUUUGUAAUUGGUUUUUGGUACUACCUUAUGCAUGAAAGAUUGAAAUUUAUUUUGUGCUCAUUACCUCUCAUAUUUAUAUCUAAUGUUCUCUUGAUCAUGUAAGUGAUGCCUCAAUGGCCAUGAAUUAACAUGUAUGGGUUAUCUAUGUCUGUUUUACUGCCUAACCUUUUUGAUGAUGUCAAAAGGGGGAAAUUGUGUGUAGUGUAGCCUAAUUGGUAUGGUGUGGUAUGUUGAUAAAGAUAGGGAUUCUCUCAUUCAUGUGGAACUUAAUUCUCACUAACAGGGGGCAAUAGGUUAGAGGUUGUUUGUAGUCUUAUAGGCACCAGUUAUAGGGGGAAUUGGUUGGGCAACCUGGUCUGACAUGUUGUCUUAUGGAUUAUUUUGUGUUUCUUAGGUGUAGGUUGUGCUGUGUAGAAGUUGAUGAAGAUGCUGAGUAUUCAGAUUUCAUUGUAUGGGUUUGUCAUCAUUACAAAGAGGGAAAUUGUUAAUCCCUUAGUUUUGAUGAUUGACAAAUUCAUAGUUUGGGAUCUGCUCCCUGGGUUUUUGUGCUGACAAAAUCUUCUACACUUUAGGGAACAGAUUGGGCUCAUCUGUUGCUGUCACAGUCAAGUGUGCAGUUGACACAUAGUACAAAAGUUGGUGUAAAGCUUCUACCACCUUUUUUCCUCAACUAAUGAGAUUUCUCCAAGGUUUUCUUGUAUCAUAAUAUAUAUUGCUCAUCUUCCUCAACAAAAAAAUCAACACUUCCAUAUACUCAUAAUUAAAAAUAUUUUUUUUAGUGCUGCAGUGCUACAUUAAAGGCUGGAACUAUAACAAGGAACCUAUUGUUUAUCAAGUUGUAUCUUUAUUUCCUUUUUAUAGUUUGGUCUUGUAUUUUGUACUUAAAUGCUUGACUACUCUUUCUUAUGAUUGUAGUAGGUGCUGAGAUGCAAACAUUCUCAUUGUAAUCAUCUAGAGUUAGGUGAUUGUCCAAGAUAUAGUUAGCUUGAGGAGUCCAGUUAGAGUUAGCUGAAGCUGGAGGUGGAAGCAAUAGAGUUACUGCUUGGUUUCCUUGUAAUAGAGUUAUUACUAAGAAACAAAGGAUUCGGGGGUUAAUACUUAGAGUCUGUAUUCAAGAAGUUGCUUAAAUAUAGUCAAGCUCAAAAAUUAUGGAGGCAGAUCAUGGUUUUUCUCCCUUGGGCAAAGAGUUUCCUGGUAAAAAUCUUGCGUCCUUUAUUAUACUGUAUUCCUGUACUUCUUGUUUUACUUAUUUCCUAGUCCUUGCUGUGUGAGUGUAUUUGGGAAUAGUUCCUUGAGCUGAGGAGCAACCACCCCUACCCUUCAAGAACCAAAUUCUAAUGUAGUUCCCCCUGAUUAACACUUCUCUGCCUUUAGAGUUGUAUAAUUAACAAUGUACUUAUUUAUGUACCAGAUCCUUUCUAUUUUUUUAAUAAUCAGAACCACAAAUAUAUAAACUUUCCCC